rnacentral:lncRNA from 1 species
GGUUGGGGCAGGUGAGGUGAGGGAAGGGUGAUGUGGAGGAUGGGCUGGGGUGUUUGCUGCAAGGUGGGUAGCUGAGGGUUGGCUCAGGUGUUAGGUAUUGGUUAGGAUCCAAUAGCUGCUGUCUGAGAGUCUGCUCGCCACCUCUUCUGCUGAGCCUGAUGGGACUGAAUCGACCUUCAGAUCUCAGCGAUGAGUCCUCUAGACUGCAGGUUCCACAGCAGUUGCAGCUCCCAUGGCCUCAGAUUGGAGCUGCCUGUGACAUGCAGAGAUGGAAGCACAGCGUCAGCUGUGGUGAACGGCAGCCUCUUUCAGCCCCCAGUGUCUCUCAUGGAAACCCAAGGUGGGAGAAAGAAGCAGAAGGAAAUUCUGGAACCAGAAACACUUCAGCAAUGAAGAUUGGAUUUUCUCUGAUAUGAAGAGCAAAAUAAAAUGUCUCCUGCAGACCCCUAAAGCUCUGUGCAUACUUUGUCUAUGCUUUCUAGACAUUCUUAGCCUUAGGUAUGAAAGGAAAUGAGGUGUUCCAAAAAUUAUGCAGAGUCUUUUUUUUUUUAAUGCUUCUGUUUAGAAUUGUAAAGCACAAACUGCGAGGACUGGGAAGAAUCUUUGAGCUUGUGGUGAGCUGAAAAGUGGAGCCAUUCAUUAGAUGUCCACAGUCUAAUCCCUGGAAGCCGCGAACAACAUGUUACCUUACAUGGGAAAUGGGAUUAAGACACAGAGUUUUUUUUCUGUUAUUGUCCAGUUGAGCAGGACAGCCUUUAGAAAUUUUUUUUUUUGAGCCAGGAUCUUGCUCUGUCAUCCAGGCUGAAAUGCAGUGGUACAAUCAUGGCUCACUGUAGCCUCAAACUCCUGGGCUCAAGCCAUUCUCCUGACUCAGCUUUCCAAGGAGCUAGGACUACAGGCAUGUCCCACCACACCUGGCUAAUUAAAUUUUUUUUUUUUUUUUGUAGAGACGGGAGAUUUGACUUUGUUGUCCAGGCUGGUCUGGAACUCAUGGUCAAUCUUCCUGUCUCAGCCUCCCGAAGUGCUAGGACCGUGCCUGAUCAGAAUUUUUAAUUUUAUGGAUUCUGAUUGCUAAAUUUAUCCUAUGGUUUUGAUGACCAUAGUUUCUUGAAUCCAAAUUAAGGCUCUCUGAUCUGACAAUGAGUGAGUUUAUGGGGAUAAUAUGACAGAGUAUUUGGAAUUGAGGGUGUCCCAUAAAAACUGGGGACACAUAUUCCCUGUCGUAAUACAUGACAUAGCCUCUCUCUCCCUUCUCACCUUCCCCACCCUGUGGCUUGUACAUUACAAGGAAGGGAGAGAGGUUGGAACCUUGCCACAAGGGUUUUCAGAGGAUUCUGCUAAUAUCUGAGCCAGAUCAGACUUUGGAAAGGCCUCCUGGGUCUAAAAAAUGAGGAAUCAUUGCUUCAAUCUUUGCAAUAAACAUCCUGGGUGACUUUCACCUCAAACCUCAGAGGAUUUCACGAUGCUACAGAACAUUCUGUGCUUUGUGGGUUUCCCAUCAGUUGGUGGAGAAAUCGAGCCAUUCAAAUGUGCUCUUGGUGGUGGAGACAGUGCAGCGUAGGCCAUGAAGCGGGGGUGGAGGGGUAAAGUAGCCAUGACUCCAUGAGCCUUCCGGCAGGCCUGGGGACUUACUCUUGGGUGUCUGUUGGGCCUGAGCAUUAGUUCUUGAAAAGACUAUUUAAGCAAUUCUUGUGACUCUGUGAUCAAGUUUUCCCAUAGAAAGAAGAGAGGUUAUGUAAAUUCUUCCUUAUAGAUCACAAGAUCAGCAGUUAACUCCAGCAUGGCCAAGGGCAGAUUGCAUGGUUUUGCUUCCUCUCUUUGGCUGAAUUAAGCUGUGUGCUUCUUGUGUUAUUUAAUGAACCAAAUCCUAAUUGAGGCAGAUCAGCGGGGAGUGAUGUGUUUAGCUGAGCACAGAGCGAGGGUGGAGAGAAGGGUUCAAUUAUUGGUGUGUUCUCUAUCCUGAGAUGAUGAUGGUAUUUUGUGAGAUUUUCCUACUGGAAUGAAUUCCCACGCUUGAAACCUACUAGGCUUGACUCAAAAUUUAUGCUUUAUUCUUCAAUCUUACCAUGUCAAAAUAAAGGAAAAAACCCAGAUAUUUCAUCUCUAAUGGUCCUUAAAA